rnacentral:rRNA from 1 species
AUGAACGCUAGCUACAGGCUUAACACAUGCAAGUCGAGGGGCAGCAUGAACUUAGCUUGCUAAGUUUGAUGGCGACCGGCGCACGGGUGAGUAACACGUAUCCAACCUGCCGAUGACUCGGGGAUAGCCUUUCGAAAGAAAGAUUAAUACCCGAUGGCAUAGUUCUUCCGCAUGGUAGAACUAUUAAAGAAUUUCGGUCAUCGAUGGGGAUGCGUUCCAUUAGGUUGUUGGCGGGGUAACGGCCCACCAAGCCUUCGAUGGAUAGGGGUUCUGAGAGGAAGGUCCCCCACAUUGGAACUGAGACACGGUCCAAACUCCUACGGGAGGCAGCAGUGAGGAAUAUUGGUCAAUGGACGAGAGUCUGAACCAGCCAAGUAGCGUGAAGGAUGACUGCCCUAUGGGUUGUAAACUUCUUUUAUACGGGAAUAAAGUGAGGCACGUGUGCCUUUUUGUAUGUACCGUAUGAAUAAGGAUCGGCUAACUCCGUGCCAGCAGCCGCGGUAAUACGGAGGAUCCGAGCGUUAUCCGGAUUUAUUGGGUUUAAAGGGAGCGUAGGCGGACGCUUAAGUCAGUUGUGAAAGUUUGCGGCUCAACCGUAAAAUUGCAGUUGAUACUGGGUGUCUUGAGUACAGUAGAGGCAGGCGGAAUUCGUGGUGUAGCGGUGAAAUGCUUAGAUAUCACGAAGAACUCCGAUUGCGAAGGCAGCCUGCUGGACUGUAACUGACGCUGAUGCUCGAAAGUGUGGGUAUCAAACAGGAUUAGAUACCCUGGUAGUCCAUGCCGUAAACGAUGAUUACUAGGUGUUGGAGGAUUGACCCCUUCAGUGCCGCAGUUAACACAAUAAGUAAUCCACCUGGGGAGUACGACCGCAAGGUUGAAACUCAAAGGAAUUGACGGGGGCCCGCACAAGCGGAGGAACAUGUGGUUUAAUUCGAUGAUACGCGAGGAACCUUACCCGGGCUUGAAUUGCAACUGAAUGAUGUGGAGACAUGUCAGCCGCAAGGCAGUUGUGAAGGUGCUGCAUGGUUGUCGUCAGCUCGUGCCGUGAGGUGUCGGCUUAAGUGCCAUAACGAGCGCAACCCUUAUCGAUAGUUACCAUCAGGUUAUGCUGGGGACUCUGUCGAGACUGCCGUCGUAAGAUGUGAGGAAGGUGGGGAUGACGUCAAAUCAGCACGGCCCUUACGUCCGGGGCUACACACGUGUUACAAUGGGGGGUACAGAAGGCAGCUACACGGCGACGUGAUGCUAAUCCCUAAAGCCUCUCUCAGUUCGGAUUGGAGUCUGCAACCCGACUCCAUGAAGCUGGAUUCGCUAGUAAUCGCGCAUCAGCCACGGCGCGGUGAAUACGUUCCCGGGCCUUGUACACACCGCCCGUCAAGCCAUGAAAGCCGGGGGUACCUGAAGUGCGUAACCGCAAGGAGCGCCCUAGGGUAAAACUGGUGAUUGGGGCU